UUAAAAAAAAACUUUGCUGUAUCAGUUAGGGGCGAAAAUUUGUCUUUCACUGAAAAUCAGUUGAACUAUGAAAUCAUCAUUUACAGCACAGUAUACAUGUAGUUUCCAGAUGGAAUUCACUUUUAAUAAAUUUUUGAAAGAAAAUGGAAAAUCCCCUCAUGUUCAACCUUCCUAAACAUUAAAAGCCAUGUGUGAGCAAAAAUAGACGACUCAUGUACAAUAUUUGCAAAGUUUUAUCCUUAGGUCUGAUGAAUGCACAUGCAUGCCAACAGGUGUUCUUGGAAUUAUUUUUUUAUAUAGGUUUUUGAUGAUCCAUCAAUGGACAAAUGAAUUAAUAGCUGUCUCAGACGGGGGCAUUUGCUAUCGAUCACAGAACAUCAGCUCCUGCAUUCAUCACUAACAGCUAUUUUCACUAGUCCUUUUCAAGACUGGAUUAUAGACGAAAGUUUCACUAUACAUGAUAUCGACUUCAAAAAAUGAUUUUGGUUUACCAAAAGACCUUACUUUACAUGAGCACCAAAAGUUCCAUAUUUAAAAUGUAGCUUGAUAUUGAAAUAGGAACAAUGUGUUGGCAAAAUAAAAUUCAGAGGGAAAUUUAAAAAAAAAUUGAGGACAGAUGCCAAAUAGGGAUCCUGUGCAUUACUUUAUUUUAAGUGGAUUGAGAAUUCUGUGGUUUUACAUAAGUCUGAAUACACACCUGCAGAAAAGUAUAUUUGUACUUCUUUGACCAUUAAAAUUUCCAAUGGCAGUAAUUUCAUGCAUAUUCAGGACAAUAUUGACAAGAAUACAAUUUGUUACCCGUCCCAACUUCCUAAAUCAAUUUCCUCUGUAUAGAAGCCGACAAAAUAGUAUUUCUGAAUGUGACAAAUUGCAUUUCAGUGCUGUAUCAGUUAGGGGCGAAAAUUUGUCUUUCACUGAAAAUCAGUUGAACUAUGAAAUCAUCAUUUACAGCACAUGUCACAAACACUAUUAAAUCUCGGGUUAUUUAUCCUAUCUUGUUUUCACAAAAUUAUGGAUUAGUCUUUAAAGGUCUAGUGGCAAAUAUUUCAUGCAUAUUCAAGACGAUGGUUGAGAACACACAAGUGGUACCCUAACAUUUGGAAGAUUCUUGGGUUUCAAGAGGCAGGUUGAAACAGUCUAUCCCAUGCAAUGCAUUGCCGCAUCCUUGUUGACACUUUACCUGAGAAAUUAACAUCUUUAAAACUUUUUAUACUGCAUUGUCUCAGACGGGGGCAUUUGCUAUCGAUCAUAGAAAUCAGCCUCUGCAUUCAUCAUCAACAAUGAAUCGAGAUAAAGUCAAGUUUAAUCGGCAAACAUUACCGUUGCAGAUCUAGGCACCAACUUUAUUUAAAUUGUCAACAGUUUCUAUGUUCUGCAAUUUAUAUAUGUGUAUUAAAUUUUUGGAUUAGCUUCUUUUAGAGCCCAGGAGGUGAUUUCACAAAAAUACAAUACUCCAAGACUAACAUUGAUAGCAAUUUAUUAACAAUUCCAUUUUUUUGUGCAAUCAACUCCAGCCAUACAAUGAAACGAGAUUUAAGACCCAACUGUUUAAUACCUGGUACAAGCAUGUGAAUGACCAGUAAUUUAUUGUUCAAAUCAAAUCCUUUCGCUUGAAUAAUCAAUUAAAAGAUUUCUAUUGCAGUUAAAUCUGGACAAUUUUUGGUCAAUGACAUCUCAGAUGUUAAGAGUUACUAGUCAAA
rnacentral:lncRNA from 1 species